rnacentral:tRNA from 1 species
GCCCCUAUAGCUCAGCUGGUAGAGCAUCUGAUUUGUAAUCAGGAGGUCGGGAGUUCAAGUCUCUCUGGGGGCACCA